GCGGAAUGGAGCACCUGGCGUACGGCUCAGUAACACGUAGUCAACCUGCCCUAAGGACGAGGACAACCACGGGAAACUGUGGAUAAUACUCGAUAAGAAAUUUGGCCUGGAACGGUAUCUUUCACAAAACCGGCUCGCCGUGAGACACGGGCCUUAGGAUGGGGCUGCGGUCGAUUAUGCUAGAUGGCGGUGUAAAGGACCACCAUGGCUAUGAUCGGUAUGGGCGAUGGAAGUCGGAGCCCAGAGUCGGCUACUGAGACAAGGAGCCGAGCUUUACGAAGCUUAGCGGUCGCGAAAACUCGCCAAUGCACGAAAGUGUGAGUGGGCUACUCCAAGUGUCAUUCUUACGGAUGACUGUCGCUCAGUCUUACCAGCUGAGAAAGGAAGGAGAGGGCAAGGCUGGUGCCAGCCGCCGCGGUAAAACCAGCUCUUCGAGUGGUCAGGACGAAUAUUGGGUCUAAAGCGCUCGUAGCCGGACAAGUAGGUUCUUGGUUAAACCCGACAGCAUAACUGUUGGCCUGCUGGGAAUACCGCUAGUCUUGGAAGCGGGAGAGGACAGAGGUAGUCAUGGGGCAGGGGUGAAAUCCAGUGAUCCCAUGGCGACCACCGAUGGCGAAGGCAUCUGUCUGGAACGUAUUCGACGGUGAGGGGCGAAAGCUAGGGGAGCGACCCGGAUUAGAUACCCGGUUAGUCCUAGCCGUAAACGAUGCGGACUAGGUGUUACAGCGGCCAAGAGCCACUG
rnacentral:rRNA from 1 species